UACGCUGGCGGCACGCCUAACACAUGCAAGUCGAACGCAGUAGCAAUACUGAGUGGCAAACGGGUGAGUAUAAUGUGGGAAUCUGCCUUUUGGUUUGGAAUAACACGGGGAAACUUGUGCUAAUACCAAAUAAGCCCUUACGGGGAAAGUUUUAACGCCAAAAGAUGAGCCCGCACUUGAUUAGCUAGUUGGUAAGGUAAAAGCUUACCAAGGCAACGAUCAAUAGCUGUUCUUAGAGGAAGACCAGCCACAUUGGGACUGAGACACGGCCCAGACUCCUACGGGAGGCAGCAGUGGGGAAUCUUGCACAAUGGGGGAAACCCUGAUGCAGCGAUGCCGCGUGAGUGAAGAAGGCCCUUGGGUUGUAAAACUCUUUCGUCGGGGAAGAAAAUGACUGUACCCGAAUAAGAAG
rnacentral:rRNA from 1 species